UAAUUUAAAAAACCUCUCGCAGGCGCGGAAGCGCGUGCAGAGAGGCUAGUAUUAAAUAAAAUAUCUGUUUUACCCAGAUAUUCUUUCGACCAUUAUAAUUUUUACAAUAAAUCCCAGCAAGCACGCAAAGGGUGGGAAGAAAUAUCCCAUAAACUUUGGCGUCGACCACACGAGCCUAAAUCAUGGGCCUAAAUUGCAACAUAAUACACGGAGAAACGAGGAAAAUAAGAAAAGAGACAAUCUAGGCCUAGGCCUAGCCAUCCACAUUUUCUUCCAUUUCCUUUCCUGAGGUCUAAAUCCAAAGAAAAAGUCAUGGAAAUUACCUUAAGCUAGAGCUAGGCGCUAACAUAAGCACUGAGAGCAUCACCAGUGAGCCUGCAAAUCCUCCACUCCUGCACCAUCUUAGCUCCCAUUUCCUCAUAAAACCUGAUGGCAUUCACAUUCCAGUCAAGCACACAAGCCAAUCCAAUUUCCCAUUCCCCAUCUUCACAGCCUGCUUAGCCACAGAUGAAAGCAGCAUCUUCCCAAGCCCUUUCCUCCUAUAGCACUGCCUCACAAACAGGUCCUCUAUGUAAAACCCAGGCUUCGCCAGUUCCGCAGAGGGUAGGAAGAAAUAUCCCAUAGACUUCUUUGACGUCGGCAACACGAGCCAAAAUAAUAAAAAGGGCUAAAAAGGGAGGGGGCGGUGGGAGAGAGUCUCUCUUCUCUUUCCGGUGAUCAAAGUUCGGGCCCCUCUUCUUUUUUUUCCCUUUUUCUGGAAUGAAGUUUGGGUCUUUUCACUUACUUUGAUCCUCACGAAAGAAGAAGAGAAUUCUCAAGAACGUUCUAGCUACUAAUAAAGGAAUAUUAGAAGUCCAAAUAUGAGAAUUUUCAUUUAAUGGCUCGACUUAUGGCAAAAAGGCAAAAUCAACAACAACAAAAAACCACACAGAAACGAAAGAGCAAAGCAAUUAAAAAACACAGUAGAACAAAUCAAACAACAAUGGCAUACAGCAGAAGAUUUCAGAGAUGCAAAAGGUGUAGCUGUGACAUUGCUAGGAGAAACAACAAAGGUUCUACAAGACUGCCUCCUCAGUCAUAAUCUUCCUAGCCCACACACACAUUUCCAUCUCAACCCAGAAACAAACAGACAAGAAGAAAAAAGAAAAUACACAAGAAGGAACAAUCUAAGGCGGGGCUAGCCUUCAACAUUUUCUUCCAUUUCAUUUCAUUUCCUGAAUUCUAAAUCCAACGAAAAAGGUAUGGAAAUUACCUAAGCUAGAGCUAGAGCUGGGCAUUAACAUAAGCAUUAAGAGCAUCACCAGUGAGCCUGCAAAUCCUCCACUCCUGCAAGAUCUUGGCACCCAUUUCCUCAUAAAACCUGAUAGCAUUCACGUUCCAGUCAAGCACAACCCACUCCACUCUCCCAUACCCCAUCUUCACAGCCUGCUUAGCCACAGCUGAAAGGAGCAUCUUCCCAAGCCCUUUCCUCCUGUAGCACUCCCUCACAAACAGGUCCUCUAUGUAAAACCCAGGCUUCGCCAGAAAAGUCGAGUAGUUUGGAAAAAACAACACGAACCCAGCAACGCAGGCAUCGCCGCCAAGAACCCCACCGUUGGAUCUGAACAAAUCGCGGUCUGGGUCGUUAAUCGGAAGGUCCAGAU
rnacentral:lncRNA from 1 species